rnacentral:rRNA from 1 species
AUUGAACGCUGGCGGCAGGCUUAACACAUGCAAGUCGAGCGGAGAUGAGGUGCUUGCACCUUAUCUUAGCGGCGGACGGGUGAGUAAUGCUUAGGAAUCUGCCUAUUAGUGGGGGACAACAUUCCGAAAGGAAUGCUAAUACCGCAUACGUCCUACGGGAGAAAGCAGGGGAUCUUCGGACCUUGCGCUAAUAGAUGAGCCUAAGUCGGAUUAGCUAGUUGGUGGGGUAAAGGCCUACCAAGGCGACGAUCUGUAGCGGGUCUGCGAGGAUGAUCCGCCACACUGGGACUGAGACACGGCCCAGACUCCUACGGGAGGCAGCAGUGGGGAAUAUUGGACAAUGGGGGGAACCCUGAUCCAGCCAUGCCGCGUGUGUGAAGAAGGCCUUAUGGUUGUAAAGCACUUUAAGCGAGGAGGAGGCUACUGAGACUAGUACUCUUGGAUAGUGGACGUUACUCGCAGAAUAAGCACCGGCUAACUCUGUGCCAGCCGCCGCGGUAA